rnacentral:lncRNA from 1 species
AGCGGCACCAGGGGUCCUUCCUCUCCCAUUUACUGAAGGUGUAGGCAGAGAAGGGGCAGGGGUGACAGGGCAUGGGUGUGGGGGGAGGGGAUUUGGGUGGGGGAGGUGUAAGUGUGGGGGGUGUUUGCCAACAGAGCCGCUCUCUGAGCUCCAAUGACAAGGGUCCAUCUACUUUGAGCAGAGGAUGCUGGAAAUUGUGGGUAAAAAGGGCUGGGAAGCCUUAAAAAUGCCCGGAGACACUCAAGGAAGCUUGGGACCAGAGCAGGAAGGACUCGGUUGGACCUUCCUGACCAGGACCCCGGGGACCACCGCCCAGACUCGCAGCUUCCUCCUCCCCUUUCUUGUUGGCCUUUGUCCAUGGAAACGACGUCAUGGGGCUGGCGUGGGGAAAGCCCAGAACCUUUUUUUAAUGAGAAAGGUGGGCCAGAUCAGGCAAGGGAGGGGGGCUUAGUGGAGGAACAUUGGGUUGGGAGUCAGGAAAACUGAGCCCCCUGGCCUCAGAGACCCCGGGCGCUGACAAGAUGCCAUUCUUCACCAAGUCUUUGGAGGGAGGAGGGCCCUAAAUAGGCUUGGACCCGCCUGAUGGAAGAGCAAACUGAGCUGAGCACAGCCCCUGGCACGUGGUGGGUGACUGCCGGAGAAGGGGGGCGCAUGCAACCCUGGGGUCCCCACAGAAAGCUGCUCCAGGGCACAGACUUGGGGGCUUCAACUACUCAUCUAUGAUGUGAGUUAAGGCUGCUCAGGACCCUCCUUCCCAGCUGUCUGAUGGCCCAGGUCGUCGGCCCCAGGCACUGGCUGAAUUCUGAGAACAGGAGUCAAAGGAGGCAGCCAGGGGCCCAGGGAGAGACCCAGCACAGCAAGGCCAGGGCCCCCCGGGGCUUCAGGAGCCAGGAGGGCAACGCGCCACUGCCAUCGGCGGUGAGCCCAGCACAUCGUGGCAGAGAGGGGGCUUAGAGGUCACCAGCCCUCGGGGAGGAGGACUGAGGCAGAAGGGGAGCAGUGUCCAAAGGGGGCAUAAUGUGCAGGCUGGCUCUGGAGGCCCUCGGGGCCAGCCGGGGUCUUAGUGCAAUGAAGGAGGCAGAAGGCAGGAGGACCACCAGGAAGAUGGUCAAAGGUGGACUCUCUCAUCUCUGGGCCUCUCAGCCCUUAAAUACCUC